rnacentral:ncRNA from 2 species
CAGAGUAAAGCUCGAAGCGUAAAGUGUUGCCGGAACGGGGAGUUGUCCGGCAAACGAAAGUGUAAAUCGCUGCGGUUUCGGGUUUGCAUCCCGCUG